CCUUAAUUCAGUAAACAAGACCUGGCCUCAACUAUGGUGUCAAAUUCAGGCUGCAACAAUAGAACUCCCUAUGACGAAGAAAUGGGAUAUCACUUCCAAAGGGAGAUGAUUUGGCAACUGGAUCCAUCAGGUUCCAGGAUCCCUGGCUACAAUGAAGAACCUGGAAAUUUGCUUACCUUCUCU